rnacentral:rRNA from 1 species
GACGAACGCUGGCGGCGUGCUUAGCACAUGCAAGUCGAACGGAAAGGCCCAGCUUGCUGGGUGCUCGAGUGGCGAACGGGUGAGUAACACGUGGGUGAUCUGCCCCUAACUUCGGGAUAAGCUUGGGAAACUGGGUCUAAUACCGGAUAGGACAAUCGUUUAGUGUCGGUUGUGGAAAGUUUUUUCGGUUAGGGAUGAGCCCGCGGCCUAUCAGCUUGUUGGUGGGGUAAUGGCCUACCAAGGCGUCGACGGGUAGCCGGCCUGAGAGGGUGGACGGCCACAUUGGGACUGAGAUACGGCCCAGACUCCUACGGGAGGCAGCAGUGGGGAAUAUUGCACAAUGGGCGCAAGCCUGAUGCAGCGACGCCGCGUGGGGGAUGACGGCCUUCGGGUUGUAAACCUCUUUCGACAGGGACGAAGCUUUGGUGACGGUACCUGUAUAAGAAGCACCGGCUAACUACGUG